rnacentral:rRNA from 1 species
UACGAAGGGGGCUAGCGUUGCUCGGAAUCACUGGGCGUAAAGGGUGCGUAGGCGGGUCUUUAAGUCAGGGGUGAAAUCCUGGAGCUCAACUCCAGAACUGCCUUUGAUACUGAAGAUCUUGAGUUCGGGAGAGGUGAGUGGAACUGCGAGUGUAGAGGUGAAAUUCGUAGAUAUUCGCAAGAACACCAGUGGCGAAGGCGGCUCACUGGCCCGAUACUGACGCUGAGGUGCGAAAGCGUAGGGAGCAAACAGG